CUCCUAUAUAAAAAACCUAAAGAUCAUGUAAAUAAAAAUCCCCUCAAGAUCGUCCUUCCUCAAAGGAGUGUCCAUCCGCACGUUUCCAGUACCUAUCUUCCUCAUCCUCCAUCUUGCCGCAUCUUUUCUUCGGGACGUCAGUGACUUUGGUGAUCCAUCCAAGUUUGAAUCAGUGUAAAAGUAUUGGAUGAAUUUGUCCCAACAUAGUUGAUGCAGGGGAGGAGUUGUACCAAAGAAUAUUUGAGGCAUGCGCAUGUUUCCUGCAGGACUCUCCGCCUUAAUUUCAUAGAAGAUAAACUUAUCCCUAAAAGGCCCAUCGUCAUGCCUGCAGGCUAUGGUUUCCUUCUGUUCCCCGCCUCUCCCGACCAGAUCAUCAUCGCGCGUCCCCUACGGUCGCUCUGGAUUCCAUCCAUGCUGAAAUUGAUUUAAAAGGAAGGGGUAUGAUCCAAUUCAUCCUCUCCUGCGGCCUAGAUCUAACUUCUAUACAUCUAAUCACCUACCAUGAAUUUGUACCACCAUGAUUUGAAGCAAUCAACUCAUCGUUUUUGCGUGCAUGCAAGUUCUGUUCUCGGCGGAAUUGAUCAAGAAAGGUAUCGAUUGGCUCAUGUGUACAUGUGUGUACUAGCUUCUAGAUGUCAACUUGCUUCGUCGUCGCCGCUAUUGGACGUCCAUCACAGUCAACAAGGCUGCCGAGCUAAGAACUGUGGCAGACUGGUGGUGGAGCCGUUUACUUGCUCGACACUGUUCGAUUUUGUUGUUGCAUCCACUUGGCAAGUAACUCAGAACCCUUGAAUCUGCUGCUAAUAAUUUUACUCAUAUAGUUUAUCCUUAAUACCCUGUCCAUAGGGUUGACGCUAUUUGUGGCAAGUGCAAUGCAUAUGUAGGUAAGUUGGCUAGACUAAUAUUCAUUUCUUCCAUCUAUUUUGUUUUGAAAACAGAAAAAUGGUGUUGGUGCACAUUAUGGGCAAGCAUUGACAGCACAUAUAGUUGGUGUGUGAUAACAGUUACUUCAGGCUAUUUAAGUUAACAUUUUCCCACAUUUUACAUACAUCUAAUAUUAUGAGUUCUCAGCUGGUAGAGAAAGUGGACUGAGAUACAUCAUGGUAUUGCGUACAGAAACUUCGACUUGAUUCAAGGACUAAGUAUUUAACGUGAUUCAGUCUUUAUUCCAUGCAUACUGUUCACUUGAGAAGUUACUAGAUGAAAUCAAAGAACAUUCUAUAGUAAGGGAGCAAGCACGCCGAAGCACACAAAUCAUGGAAUUAUUAAGCUACUUUACAACUGCAUUUCAGUGGACUAUAUCGUGCAUUAGUUUUUCCUAACCUUGAGAAUAUUAUCUUGGAUUUUAAUUAAAUGGCUAUCUAGAAUUUUUAUCUCAUUCAUGUGUUUACCUUUUCUUAUAGUUGUGACGAGCAAAUUCAGCAAAUUUAACUGGUGGCGAAUUCAAUCAAGUGUGAGACCGCUAUCUAAUAUCUUCUUUGCAGGUGUGAUAUGAAAGGAGGCGUCUUGGUUUUCCAAGAUCAAGAAUGGAGUUCCAUGAAGCAAUAGUAAUGAUAUCAAUCAAGUCUCACUUUUUUAUUUUUACGUUUACUAUUUUCAUCACACCAUUUAUACAUAAUUUAUAUUGGUGUUGAAGGCAAACUGUCUAAAGUGUUCCCUUUACAUUGUUGAUAUAUGAAGGUUCUGAUUUGAUUUCUUAAAUCAUCUGCCAUUGAUUUAUGAAUAUUAUAUGAAAAUCUUUUAUAGGCUACACGUGAACAUACCUGGAUUCUAUGGAAUUGAUUGCUAAAAACAGAUUUAGCGUUUAACUUCAUAUGAUACAUUGAUCCUUCUGUACUAGAUUCUAACUACUGUAAAAUGGAUUCUUUAGCGUACCUAUUACAAACAUAUUAAUUCAGCCAACAUUCUGAACAAUUUCUAGAUAUUGCGCUGCUUCAUGCAGUUGUUUGCCCACAACAAACAUCCUCUGACCAAGGCAGUAUAUUCUACCAUGUCUAACCGAACUGAUUGUUUCCAAAAAUAGACAAUCGAGUUUCAGUUUUACACAUGUUUGUUUUUGCACCUACCUGACUGCCUAACAUCUUUCUGAUAUAGGAACAAACUGCAACUGAUAAAAAACACUUUCCUUAAUCUAUGAAAGACAGUUUUUCUUC